AAAUUUUUGGUGGAUUUACGUGCACCCCGUCCGACUCCAGAUCGGAAGGCUGCGUGUUCAAAUCACGUCGGGUUCA
rnacentral:tRNA from 1 species